UGCAGUUCACGUCUGCAGACAUUUGCUCAUCUCCGGUCGGAACAGGAUCUGCACACGUGUUCACAUUUUCUAUUCCACAUUUCUAUUGUAGCGUACUGUAUGUAUGGAGCAUAAUAUAUUUGUGUAUAUUCUUUAUCACUGCGGACACGUGAGGUAACGUUACUCAUUUUAUAACCUUUAUGGUGUUAUAGUCAAUCGUGCUUAUGUAGCCACAUUCUUCUAUUAGCUCUGUAAAACAACGCUAAAUGCGUCAGAGAAGUAUUAUCUUGUGUUGCAUUUUGAAGCUACCAUGGCCUUAUGACUCUCAAGUGGUGCAGCGGUCAAAGGCACAGCACAUCAGUACUAGAGGUGUCACUACAGACUCCCUGGUUCAAAUUAAGGCUGCGUUUCCAUCAAAAAACCAGAAACAUUAUUUGCCAAUAUCAUAACUGGAGCUGGACAUCUUUGGAGCUGAAGAAUGAGGACAGCUUUUGUAUGCUAACGUACACUCCUUAACAGUUGUACUGGAUGAAAACACAGCAAGAAAACACAUGCCAAUAUGUAAUAUUCAUCUAUUUUAUUGCAGUACUGGUAGUUGGUUCAACAACUUGUUUUACUAGAGGACAAAAAACUGAAUAUGCAUAACCCAUAUUUAAUAUCCAUGCAGUGACUGAACAACAACUGCAUUUCCACCCCCAUCUCUAAGGCAUAGUAUCAUGGCUGGUCACCUGUCAAGUCACAUGUCAGGUGGUCCACCUUCCCUGUGGCCGACAUGGUUGCUGUAUGGACAGUGGAGAGGACAUGGACGUCUCGCUUGUCAUGCCACUUUACUGCCAGCUGUUGACCGUUCUCCUGGCAUCCCCUUCCGGUUCGACCUGACUGUGCCACAGGCCCCUGUGCUGUUGGAGAGCAGAUGCUGGAAGAGUGUGGGACUGCUGUACCAAUUGUCCACGUACAAAGUGUGUCCCUUGCCGAGAUGAGGAGCCAGCAUGGUCAUCACCACGGACCCUGACACCCCAAGCCCCUCAUAAUGUUUGAUGUCAGUGGUGGACCCUGUGUAAACUAUAAUAUCCUGGACAAAUCCUGUCUUCACGUCGCACAUGACAAAGAACUUGACUCCAAACCUGUGCCUUUUGGAGGGAAUAUAUUGACGGAACGCCAGCCUACCUUUCCAUAACAUCAGGGACUCAUCAAUGCAUAGGUCCUUGUAUGGCACAAAGACCCAACCAAAUGCUGAUGUCAGGCUGAUAAGAACAUUUCUUAUUUUGUAUAACGGGUCACUUAGGAUGGCAGUAGCAUUGUUGACAAAAUGCAGGCAUCGCAGCAGAACUAGGAAGCGAUCUUGGGAAAAGAGGGAGGCAAAGAAGGGAGUUGCAAACAUAGGAUCUGUGCUCCAGUAUUCUCUUAGGGAGUUCUUCUUUACUAUUCCCAUGAGAAGGACUGUCACCAGGAAGGUAUACAUUUCACUAAUUGUGGUUGUCACCCAUUUAGCGAGUUUUCCCCUCACUCCUGGCUCUCUCUUCUCCUGUAGCUCUAAGGCAUAGCGAUUGGUCUCAACUAUCUCUCCCACCAGCUCCUCUGUCAGAAACAACUUGAAGCACUCUGCCUCAGUUGGAAAUGGCAAGGGGCGUUGCACUCCAGACUGGGACUCGUCAAAGCAGACAGCAGGGCCAGGUGGGGUGAAAUGACUGGUGGCCUUCCAGCUACCACAGAACUCCUGUACUUCAUCCACUGUCGGUCUGCCUCCAUCACCACCAGCAUCUUCAAAGGGACCUGGUACUUCCUCAGUUGACAAGGGAAAUUCAGAUUCAGGGUUCUCAAUGGCUACAAGGUUGAGGGGCAGCUCCUCACUGUCACUGUCAGAAUCUGAUUCCUGACUUUCAUACUCAGACUCAUUGUCAGAAUUGAAAAAAAUCUCCAGAAUUUCCACAUUUGUGAGUUGUCUCCUUUUGAAAGACAUUGUUAAUGCUACAGCUUAGCUCACUAGCUACAUACAUAAACAACAACACUGAAUGGCGCAGAGUGGGAGGUUACGUGGUUGACUGCCGGCACGCGCCACUUGUAUCAAUAAAUCACUAUCAGAAAAUG